CAAACCAUCAAAAUCCAAUCAUACUGAUCGAUGAAAAAGCAGGAAGAUCUGGUAUCUAAUGCCAGAGAAGUGCAAGGAGGCUGAUGAAAAUCGAUAGCAGAACCCCGCCACUGGAAAAUAUCACCUGAAAUCCAGUCCCAGCAUCCAUGGCAGGCAACGGUGCAAGUCCUCCACUGUCUUGAGCUCUUGCCACAGCAAGCAGAAGCACCAUGGUCGCCAUGAACCACCUCAUCGCCCCUUGGAUGCUGAAUCCAGCCAUUGUUAGACGCACAGAAACCUUGAAAAGAGCGAGAGGAGAGGAAGAAUCAAAUUCAAGAUGGCGUACAGCUCCUUUUGAGGAUGACAUAUCAGCUUACUUUGCUGCUCACAGGGCCAUAUAAUGCCUCUCCCGCAGCUAACUUGAGUAACUUUGUGGUAUAAGAACAUCACUACUUAAUAGCUCGUUCGCCAAGUCGGAACUCCCACUUUCUCGUCUAUGACGGCUUUCUUCGAUGCUAGCAACCUCGUUUGACCCUUUUUCGCACUUACAAUUUCCUUGCAUUCUAGCUUCAAAAGAGACUUGACCUUUACUUACAGAGAGCUUGUGGUACCACACUCUUCUGUGCUCGUAGGUUGAGCCAACCCCAACUUUGCCAAAAUACACUUGCAGUAAUUUCCCAUGACAUAUAGUACUAAGCUUUCUUAAGUUUAGCCUAGGUUUGGUUUGAGUAUCUUCGGUAGCAUAUAGUUAUAAAAUUUUGACCUGAAUGACUAUUGGUUGAGUUUUAUUAACUGUCAUAUUUAGUUCCAUUCUUACAUUGAUUGAACAUUUGAAGAUAUUGAUUUAAUUUAUAGGGUCGUUACUAAUACAAUAUAUAUAUGCUUUACAAGUAAAAAAAAAUUAAGUUGAUUUUAGGAGGGAA